CUAUCAGUAAAGUAUUUUAAUUAUAAAACAUUAUUCUAAAGUAAAGUUGGAUCAAAACAAAAAUCAAAUUGUUUACUGAAAUCAUACAAUAAAACAUAGUUUAUACUUAAAGUCAUUGAAUUUUAGAACAUAAAGCAAACUUAGAAACCAGCCCCUCAUCAGAUAAUAGUAUAUAAAAGACCCUUGCUCUAGUUUAUUUCCUGUUCUUUCUAUUGGAUGGUCCUGCAAUCUGUGGCAAUUACACUGAAGGUGAUAUAUGAAAUUAUUAUUAUUUUUUUAAACUCUUACCUUCCAUCUUAGAAUCAAUACUGUUUAUUGGCUCCAAGGCAGAAGAGUGGUAAGGGUUGGGCAAUGGAAGUCAAGUGACUUGCCCAGGGUCACACAGUUGGGAAGUGUCUGAGGUCAAAUUUGAACCCAGGAUCUCCCACCUCUAAAUCCACUGAGCCACCCAGCUGCCCCCUAUAUGAAAUUAUUUUGAGUAGUAGAAAUGAGUCUCUAGUUAAACUCUAAGUUUCAGUUCAAACUGCAUUAGAGACGAGUUUAUCUUUUCCCAUUUCCCCUCAGCAUUAACCAGUAGUUUGAAUAAACAAGCUGCAUGCAGGAAGGGAUGACCCUGCCCUUCCCACACGAUUUCAGCACCGGGGAAAGUUGUCAAUACAGAUAACAAGUACAUAAAUACAGCAGGAGCCCCGGAAAAGCAUCUGGGAACUAAGCGUUCCCCGUCCGCACUGCUGAGAGAAUAAUUGAAAAUGCUGUACAAGUGACAGAGACCUUCGGAGCGUUCCCAAUGGCUGUGGUCUGGAAAGACAGGCCGGUUUGCUCCGGGAAGAGUCAGAUCAAGGAUGACGGCGGCAUCUUUGGGGGAGGCAUGUCACAGAUGGCAAGUGCGAAUGAGGGUGAAGACUCCCUCCAGGUCCUCUGACUUCAGAGCCAGUGAUGUGGUCUCUACAUUACCUCCUUCGGUUGUUAUGAGAACCACAGAAAGCAGGAGCCUUGCUUUGGAAGAUGAAAUUCCACAUCUAAAGUAUAAAGCAGGGACACCAAAGCACUCAUCCAAAAUGGAACCCAUGGUGGAGAACCUAUUGCCUAAGUAAUAAUUGAAGUUAUUUGCUGGAAGUUGAAGGCAACUAUAGGUGAAGAGACAUAGAGAUAACCAUUUUCUGUAAGCUACCAACAAAGAAUCUUGUUCAGUUUGGAUGAGGAACCAUGGCAAGGAAUGGUGACUGAUUAGAGGAAGUAUUUUCUGGGAAUUGAUAAAAGGCAAGACUUUAAGUGACCGAAACGGUAUCUUCCUUUGGAGAAGGUUGCUCCCAGGUGAAUGUGGUUAUUUCCUAUUUGCUAUUGUGUGAACCCUAUUUACUCACUUUAACUUUUAAAUAAGCCUACUUAUUCUUUGAGUCCUAUGAACCAUAUAUUUACAAAGGGAGUUGGUAAUAACACUCUUGGUGGUGUCAGACAGUGAAUUUUUCAAGUAAUCUAGUUGGGGGGAAAAUGAACCAGAGAAGGGAUCCCAGUUUGUUGUUGUUCAGCUUUAUCUGACUCUUAAUAAUACCUUGGAACAGAUUGUUCAUGGAGUUUUCUUGACAAAGAUACUAGAUUGUUUGACACCACAUUUGAACUCCCGUCUUCCUGAUUCCAGACCCAGCACUCUAUCCCCUGAACCACUAGCUGCCCCAAAGUUUAUCUGGGGCUUCUAUGACAUCUGAGAGCCUCUGAUUCUAGAGUAACAUGAUAAAAUCAAUAGCAAAAUAGAAAUCAUCAUGCUUGAAAGCCAUUUCCCACCAUUUAAAUGGACUAUACCAUUUUCCUGAGACAGUGGCUAUGUGCCUUCCACUGAGUGUGUGCAGAUGGGAAACUGGUGUGAAGGGGAAUUGUGGGAAGAGUGGCAUUGUUAGCAUUCUGUUGCCUUUAAAAUGAUAUUGCAUAAAAAUUUAAAUAAAUAAAAGAAAAAAGAAAAACA
rnacentral:lncRNA from 1 species